ensembl:lncRNA
ACACAUUAUUUUACAUACAACUAUGAAAGGAAAAAAAUGUUUCCAAUUAAAUGAUGACACAAAAGUGUUAACGAUCCCCUGAAACACAUUUGUUGCUUACACCAGCCUUUUGAUGCUUUGACAUUUCUUUCAUCUAUUCUAAGCAUUUGGCAACUCUCUUGUCUUGAGGUACAUUACUUAGCAUGUAGGAGAUGCUUCUUUUGCAUAUUGUUCAGAAAAGCAAAAUGUAGCACCGUUUCGUCUAUUUCCUAUAGGUUCCAUAAAACACAUUUACAGAAUUUUUUGUUUUGGAACAAAAUAUAGGCUCAUGAUUAUCCCUCCUAUGAUGAAUAUUUGCCUCAGCAAUAUAAAAUUUACCUGCUGCAGCUCUGUUUAUAUGUCUUUUUGUGUACACAAUAACUUUUCAUCUCAAUACUGAAUCACAGUGUUACUUUUGAGGACAUUUUAAAUAGUAGUGAGGAGUUCCUGUUGUGGCGCAGUGGUUAACGAAUCCGACUAGGAACCAUGAGGUUGCGGGUUCUGUCCCUGCCCUUGCCCAGUGGGUUAACGAUCCGGCGUUGCCGUGAGCUGUGGUGUAGGUUGCAGACGCGGCUGGGAUCCCGCGUUGCUGUGGCUCUGGUGUAGGCCAGUGGCUACAGCUCCGAUUGGACCCCUAGCCUGGGAACCUCCAUGUGCCACGGGAGCGGCCCAGGAAAUAGCAACAACAACAACAACAGCAAAAGACAAAAAGACCAAAAAAUAAAUAAAUAAAUAAAUAAAUAAUAAAUUAAAUAGUAGUGAAAUCGACAUGUGUGGUACCAGCAAUGUACAUCAUUCCAUUGAGGUAAUGACAAGAUGAACAUCUGUGACCAAAGUGAUGCAUGCCUGGCAAUGACAGCUACUUUGUGCCUACUGUGUGGCUGAAUAAUAAGAUGCCGGCUACUAUAAGACACAUUCCAAUUUCAUAGAUAUUAAAAUGUGGAAAAAAGUGAAUCUUGGUAUCAAUGAACAUACUUGAGUUUAAUUGACCAUUUUGUUAUUCUGGAUCUUUUAUUUAUAAAAAUUUACUUAUUUAUAAAAAAUCAAACUUUUUUCCUCUUAUAAUAGUAAGAGGAAAAAUAAAUAAUAUAUAAUAUGUAAAAAUGAUAUACACAUGUUUCCUUGCAUUUGCGACUGUUUCUUUGGGAUAGAUUCUGAGAAAAGGAAUUAUUCAGUCAAAGGAUAGACAUAUUUUAAAGGUAUUUGACAUGUAUUUCCAAUAGCUUUACAGAAAUAUAGUUGCAAUUAUAUAGUCUUAUGAACAAUGUUAUUUCAGCUUCCUAAACUUGAUUUUUUGGAGGAAAGCUGUGGUAGGCAGCCUGCAGGGUGACAGCAAAGAUUCAAAGCAUUGGUGUGUGGCUUUGAGACUUGGGAUUUCCCAUCAUGGCUCAGCAGAAAUGAAUCUGACUAGUAUCCAUGAGGAAGCAGGUUUGAUCCCUGGCCUCGCUCUUUGGGUUAAGGAUCCGGUAUUGCCGGGAGCUGUGGUGUAGGUCACAGAUGCGGCUUGGAUCCUGCGUUGCUAUGGCUGUAGCGUAGGUUGGCAGCUACAGCUCUGAUUUGACCCCUAGCCUGGGAACCUCCAG